rnacentral:rRNA from 1 species
GAUGAACGCUGGCGGCGUGCCUAAUACAUGCAAGUCGAGCGAACGGACGAGAAGCUUGCUUUUCUGAUGUUAGCGGCGGACGGGUGAGUAACACGUGGAUAACCUACCUAUAGGACUGGGAUAACUUCGGGAAACCGGAGCUAAUACCGGAUAAUAUUUUGAACCGCAUGGUUCAAAAGUGAAAGACGGUCUUGCUGUCACUUAUAGAUGGAUCCGCGCUGCAUUAGCUAGUUGGUAAGGUAACGGCUUACCAAGGCAACGAUGCAUAGCCGACCUGAGAGGGUGAUCGGCCACACUGGAACUGAGACACGGUCCAGACUCCUACGGGAGGCGGCAGUAGGGAAUCUUCCGCAAUGGGCGAAAGCCUGACGGAGCAACGCCGCGUGAGUGAUGAAGGUCUUCGGAUCGUAAAACUCUGUUAUUAGGGAAGAACAUAUGUGUAAGUAACUGUGCACAUCUUGACGGUACCUAAUCAGAAAGCCACGGCUAACUACGUG